rnacentral:misc_RNA from 1 species
UCCGGCUUAUCACCGGCAGUCCCCCUAGAGUGCCCAACUAAAUGAUGGCAACUAAGGGCGAGGGUUGCGCUCGUUGCGGGACUUAACCCAACAUCUCACGACACGAGCUGACGACAACCAUGCACCACCUGUGCACGGCCCUUACGGACCCCGUAUCUCUACGAGAUUUCCGUGCAUGUCAAGCCUAGGUAAGGUUCUUCGCGUUGCAUCGAAUUAAGCAACAUGCUCCGCCGCUUGUGCGGGCCCCCGUCAAUUCCUUUGAGUUUUAGCCUUGCGGCCGUACUCCCCAGGCGGAAGACUUAUCGCGUUUGCUUCGAUACUGCCAGGUUAACCCAACAACAUCUAGUCUUCAUCGUUUACAGCAUGGACUAC